rnacentral:lncRNA from 1 species
CAGACGCCCAUUGGACUCACCUGCGUCCCGAUGAAGCGCCGAACCGGGUCCUUCUGAGCUGGAGAACCCGCACUGGCACAGUCUCUCUGCACCGGAGGCUCCCUGAGCCGUGGCUUCCAGACGCAGAUGCCAAAGCAGAAACGCUGUGAACGCUGGACACCUGGCCAUCCUCCCUGAAGCUGCAGGAAGAGGUGGCCUAAGCUGGCCUGCCACUGUCACAAUGGCCACUCGCCGCCCCGCCAGUUUCUGUGCGUGGCCAGUGGGGACAGCUUGUCACCGCAGAGCGCCUCAACCCCCGUGGGACUGCGGGGUGUCCUAGGACGUGGCAGGCUGGGGCCUCAGGGCAAGUAGGCCCACAGAGCCACCAGUGUCACACGAGGUGGCCCCACUCAGACCGAGAGGGACGCCGAGCAGGAUCCCUGGGGCCCUGCAAGGCGGCUGCCAGCACAGAGGCACUGGAGAGGCCCGCGCUCAGCCCCGGGGGAGGGCAAGGUAAGCCCUGCCCACCGGCAGGAUGUCUUUGUUCUUUGACUAUACCUGGUGGGGCCGAGAGCAGGGGAUCCCUCCCAAGAGACACGAACCUGGUCUGUCCGCCUGCCUACGGAGGCGCCGGCUAAGGAGGCUUGCUGUUCUGAGGCGCAAAGCACCCUGCUCCCACCAGGCAGGGAUUAAACAGGGGAACUAUUUUGGUUGCCCCGCCCCACCCACGUGCAGGGGAAGGAGGAGGGGCGGGGCGUGGAGAUGGAGACAGGGCGGGGGGAGGGGCGGUCAUUACCAGUGACCUUGGCUGCAUCACCUGUGCUUGAGUGAUGACACCUCCACUAAGCCCACCGGGGAGGGCUCCCCCGGGGCGACCGCGUGGAUAUGGGGGGGGGGGUUCCCUGCUCCACUGCGUGCAGGCGGAGGAGGGGGGCUGGAUGUGGAGAUGGAGCAGGAGUUCAUCACCAGUGGUUUUGUCGGCAUCACCUGCGCGCAUGUGAGGAUGCCUCCCCUAAGCCCGCAAGGGGAGGGUACCCACCGGGGACUGCGUGGAGGGCGGGGGAGCCAGGUGCGCUUGGAGACGGCGUCGAAGGGCCGGUGCGUUUCCCCCCACCCCCGUUAGCGAAAAACAACAGAAUUCAGCUGAGUACAUGUCCAUGCUCUAUUGGCUUUAUUUUUGAUUCCUGAAAGGGGCAGCACCUGGUUAGCGCGUGGAAAGGAGCUCCUGGGAGCUGAGCGCAAGGAAGGGCUUUUGCAGGCAGGAGGUACCUAGAUGUUAUGGCAAUGCCGCUGUCCUGUAGGGGAGGGGCCGGGGGGGGGGGCGCUCAUUCCUCAAGCGCAGGCAGUUCCUGAUGGUCUGGUUUAAGGCUGUUUCUGGAAGAGCCGAGCCUGCAGUUGAGUCUAAGUUUGGUGAAAGGGGGCUUGGGGUAAAGGAUGCCAUGCGGGGCCUGGUGUCUGGUCUUUAACAGCCCAGGCAGUGCCCUGUGCCACUCUUCUUCCAUCUGUCUGCUCUGGCAUCAUCAUCUCCUUUUGUAAUAAACCUGUAACCCCCAGGUAUGGUGUUUCUCUGUGAGCCAUGUUGGCACGUUAAUGAGAGGCUCCCACCCAAAGCCCCUGGAACAGAAGCACAGGUGACAACCUGGACCUAUGAUUGGGGAGGCGGGGUUGGCGCUGAGCCCUUAAGGUCCCUCCAGGUGGAGAGUGUUGAAGGUGAGUCUGGUGGCAGGACCCCCAGCUGGUGUGGAGAAUUGUUUGCUGCUGGGACGGAAACGCGAGCAAUGAAAUUGCUACCAGAAUGGGAGAGAAACUGACGUCAGUGAUUUUCAUUGCUUCUUGUUUUUUGCCGUAAAAAUGUGAGGCUCUGCGUUCUCUUCUGAGCAGUGUUUGCUCUGAUGUCCUGUGUUUCGUAGCUCUGGAUAUUCCACGCUGGCGUUUUGAGUCCUUCUUGGAUCCAAAUGUUGCUUAGGAGAAAACGUUAAUAUUUCCCGGCAAAGGGCCUUUAGAUGGGUUAUGUCUCAUUUUAUUGAAUUGGGAGUUGAGACUGUUUCUGUACUGAUUUGCUUUGUUUUUUCUUUUAUUCUUUUUAUUUUCGUGAAGGAUGGUGAAUGUACAAUGUUGUAUGAAUUUCUGCGGCUGUACAGCAAAGUGAUUCACUUACACUUAUAUAUAUUCUUGUUCAUAUUCUUUUCUGUGAUGGUUUAUCUCAGGAUAUUGAAUAUAGUUCCCUGCACUCUACAGAAGGGCCUUGUUUAUUCUUUCUCUAGGUAAUAGUUUGCACCUGCUAAUUCUGAACUCCCCACCCAUCCCCUCCCUCUGCCCACCCCCUUGGCCACGUGUCUGUGCGUCUGUUUGUGUUUGGACUUACUUUUUUAAGACAGUAAAAUGCGUAUCACUUAAAAAUUCAGAUUGUAGGUGUUCCCGACUAGGAAAUGAACCCGACUAGGAUCCCUGAGGUUGCGGGUUCAAUCCCUGGCCUCGCUCCGUGGGUUAAGGAUCCGUUGUUGCCGUGAGCUGUGGUGUAGGCCAGCAACUACAGCUCUGAUUAGACCCCUAGCCUGGGAAUCUCUAUAUGCCACAAGUGCGACCCUCAAAAAGACAAAAAAAAAUUUUUUUGGAUUGUAGCACAUCAGGCUUAGAACGCAAACCUGGUACCCUGUCCCCCCCAGGCCCCACCCCUGUGGCAACGCUUAUUCCUACUUUCUGAUGUGUGUCGUUCUAGAUUGCAAGGACAGAACUACUGAUUCGGGGCACUUAGGUGUUAGGCAUUGUCUGCUGAGGUUGAGGUCAGAAAUAGGCAUAUUUAUGUCACACAGUUUCUCAACUCAUAACUAACUAUAUUCUAACUGAAAUGAAGUGGAACUAAAUGCCGGAUUUAUUUUUAGGGAAUGCAAUCUCCCGUAUUCCAUCUCAUUUCGAAAGGAGUUAACAUUAACCCAGUGCUUCAGGUGAAGAUGUUAUACGUGUGUGAUUGUCUUGUGUGUUUUUUUCUUUCCUGGAGGUAAAAUCGUGAAUACCUUCCCUUACGUCACACUGGGUGACAUCUCCGUGCAUGUGGCACAAGCAGUGUGUCAGAAACAAGGGCCAAGAAAAAUAAAUGAAAGUCUGUCUACCUUGGACGUUCCCUUAGAAAGUGAAAAGCUGUGUGUGUGUGUGUGUGUUGGGGGAGGUGAUUUAGGCCACGCCCACCCGAACUGAGCCGAUCCAAGGGAAGUACUUUGGUGUGGCUUUAUUUUUCUCCCCAAGGCUUAGCGUGUCAUAGCCUGGAUGCACAGGUCAUGUACAGGAAGAUGACCUAGCCACAGGUCAAGGUCAAAGUCAGGGUGGGGCCCACCAGCAAUCUUCCCAACAGGUGGGUCUCCCCGUCCCCACACAAGGCUGUCUUUCAUGGAAUAAGGGAGAUGGUUCUUUAUAUUAAGGAGAGAGGAGGGUAGGUUUGUACAAGUAUCUAGAAAAUAUCCAAGGAGCCCAGUCCAAUGUCAUGGCUGAUGGUGGCCAAGGAGCCUGUCUUCUUAGAGAAGACAGAUGGAGUGUCCUGGGGCCUGAACCCCAACUCUUCCCUCGGGUCCUUUUAAUUGUGCGGGAUCUUAAAGGCACACGAGGACAGCCUACCCUCCUUUGCUCCCAUCGUCCAUCAUUUUAGCGCCUAGGAUGAAAGACUUUGCCCAGGGUCUCUUACAACCCAAGUCUGUUUGCUUUGGGGAUGGAUUCUCCCUCACGGCUGAGGUCAGAGAUUUGCAGAAAUGCCACGUGAUUUAACUAAGAAUGAGAAAGAGGCUCACACCUGUGGCAUCUGCAGAACCAUGGGAAAACAGAGGAAGGUGCCACAACCAACUCCCUUAUUCCACAAGGUCACCAAGGGCCAAGUUGGCCUCAGAAAGGUGUCUUUUCCUGUGCACUGUGCAUCUACGGGAAGUGAGCAGGUGAUGGUCUGCCUGACAUCCAUCAAGUCCACACCUCCUGCCAGCAUAAGAACUCUGACGCAGAAUGGCCCAUUUGUCUUCAUUUCCAUCUUUAAAAGCGGGUGGACGGAGCAGAUGCAGCUUAAACAAUGGCUUCACGGCAACAUGAAUAGAAAACCUUAAUGUCUCAUUGAAUUAGCAGUGUCAUUAAGAUUCAGGAAUGCGCAAGAACACGGCUAAACAGUUUCUCCAGUGAAGUGUGCACAGUUCAUUUUUGAAACCCUACACUAAUCCUUCUCUUGUCAAAUGUGAUCAUUAGGAGGCAUUCUCCCUACUAGAGUUGGACUCCAGAGUUUCAUGGGCCACACAAAACCUUUAUAAUGCGAAACGGCCCAGGAAAAUCUGAAACAUGGUGCCAAAUGCUUUGAGGAAUAUGGGAAAAGGAGAAUAAUACAUGGAUUGUUGUAUUAGGGGUCUCUAGAGAUAAUGAAAUGAAAAGGUAUAAUAAUGGGUGUGUGUGUGUGUAUGGGGGAGGGAUGCAGAGAGAGAGACAGAGAGUGAAGCAAAGAGCCAGACAGACACAGAGAGAUUUUUAAGGAAUUGGCCCAUGGGAUUAUGAGAGCUGUCAAGUCAGAAAUCUCCAGGGUAGACCAGUAGGUUGCAAAGCCUGGUCAAAGCUGAUGUUGCAGCUUGACUCCAAUGUCUGGAGGUAGAAGUCUCUUCUGCAGGGUCAUGCUUAGUCUUUGCACUUGUGACCUUCAACUGAUUGGGUGCGGCCCACCCACACUGUGGCGGGCAGUCUGUUUAACUUCAAUGUUCAUCUCAUCUAAAAAAUACCUUUACAGAGACCUUUAGACUGCUGUUGGACCAAAUAUCAGGGUACCGUGGGCUAGCCUGGUGAUGGAUAAAAGUAACCACCCACCACAAUUAUAUGAAUACCAUUUAUAUCAUAAAUGCAUUUUUAUCUUGAGGUUAUCAUUCUUUGGGGGUUCUUGAUGGCCACCUACUUUUUUUUUUUCCUUCCACUUGGAGAAAAUGAUGGGAGACAGUAGUUUUGUCUUUCUAAGAAAUGAUAGAGUGUGGGGAGGGGAGAAGGAAAGAGGGAAGGAAGGAAGGUACAUCAACUAUAAUUAAAAAAAGAUUAUUGUCUCAAAACCCCUGCAGGAUAGGAUACAAGGAUAUUCACCUGAAAUAGGCAGGUGAUUUGUCUGAGACGAGUUAGCUCCCUCCCAUCUGUGCUAUAUUGGUUGGCAGGAAAUGACAUGCUGAAACUGCGCUGCAGACGUCAAACCAAAAAACCAGUCAUUUCCUUCAAAAGGACCUGAGAUUUCCCUGCCUCAUGUUGCACUGUGUAAGUAAAAGACUGUUGGUUCACACAUGUUCACUUUCUUCCUGCAUUUAGUCCAAUCGUGCAUCAAAAUAACAAGACAAGAAAAAAGCAGUACACAGCAUAAAUGCAGCAAAUAAAAGCAAAUGUGGUACAUGGCGUAUUAGAUUAAAAAACUAGUUCUAGGAGUUCCCUGGUUGUCUGGUGGUUAAGGAUCCAGUGAUGUACUUCUGUGGCUUGGGUUCCAUCCCUGGCCCAGGGAACUUCCACAUGCCACAGGCACAGCCAAAACAAACUAAAAAUCAAAACCUGAUUCUAACAAUAGCCAAGACAUGGAAACAACUUAAAUGUCCAUUGGCAGGGGAGUUCAGUGGUCAACGAAGCUGACUAGCAUCCAUGAGGACAUGGGUUCAAUCCUUGGCCUUGCUCAGUGGGUUAAGGAGCCAGCAUUGCUGUGAGCUGUGGUGUAGGUUGCAGAUGCGGCUUGGGUCUGGCAUUGCUGUAGCGCUGGCGUAGGCCAGCAGCUACAGCUCCGAUUGGAUCCCUAACCUAGGAACCUCCAUAUGUCACAG